GAUGAACGCUGGCGGCGUGCCUAUCAUGCAAGUCGAACGCACAGCGAAAGGUGCUUGCACCUUUCAAGUGAGUGGCGAACGGGUGAGUAACCACGUGGACAACCUGCUUCAAGGCUGGGGAUAACAUUUGGAAACAGAUGCUAAUACCGAAUAAAACUUAGUGUCGCAUGACACAAAGUUAAAAGGCGCUUCGGCGUCACCUAGAGAUGGAUCCGCGGUGCAUUAGUUAGUUGGUGGGGUAAAGGCCUACCAAGACAAUGAUGCAUAGCCGAGUUGAGAGACUGAUCGGCCACAUUGGGACUGAGACACGGCCCAAACUCCUACGGGAGGCUGCAGUAGGGAAUCUUCCACAAUGGGCGAAAGCCUGAUGGAGCAACGCCGCGUGUGUGAUGAAGGCUUUCGGGUCGUAAAGCACUGUUGUAUGGGAAGAACAGCUAGAAUAGGAAAUGAUUUUAGUUUGACGGUACCAUACCAGAAAGGGACGGCUAAAUACGUGCCAGCAGCCGCGGUAAUACGUAUGUCCCGAGCGUUAUCCGGAUUUAUUGGGCGUAAAGCGAGCGCAGACGGUUUAUUAAGUCUGAUGUGAAAGCCCGGAGCUCAACUCCGGAAUGGCAUUGGAAACUGGUUAACUUGAGUGCAGUAGAGGUAAGUGGAACUCCAUGUGUAGCGGUGGAAUGCGUAGAUAUAUGGAAGAACACCAGUGGCGAAGGCGGCUUACUGGACUGCAACUGACGUUGAGGCUCGAAAGUGUGGGUAGCCAAACAGGAUUAGAUACCCUGGUAGUCCACACCGUAAACGAUGAACACUAGGUGUUAGGAGGUUUCCGCUUCUUAGUGCCGAAGCUAACGCAUUAAGUGUUCCGCCUGGGGAGUACGACCGCAAGGUUGAAACUCAAAGGAAUUGACGGGGACCCGCACAAGCGGUGGAGCAUGUGGUUUAAUUCGAAGCAACGCGAAGAACCUUACCAGGUCUUGACAUCCUUUGAAGCUUUUAGAGAUAGAAGUGUUCUCUUCGGAGACAAAGUGACAGGUGGUGCAUGGUCGUCGUCAGCUCGUGUCGUGAGAUGUUGGGUUAAGUCCCGCAACGAGCGCAACCCUUAUUGUUAGUUGCCAGCAUUCAGAUGGGCACUCUAGCGAGACUGCCGGUGACAAACCGGAGGAAGGCGGGGACGACGUCAGAUCAUCAUGCCCCUUAUGACCUGGGCUACACACGUGCUACAAUGGCGUAUACAACGAGUUGCCAACCCGCGAGGGUGAGCUAAUCUCUUAAAGUACGUCUCAGUUCGGAUUGUAGUCUGCAACUCGACUACAUGAAGUCGGAAUCGCUAGUAAUCGCGGAUCAGCACGCCGCGGUGAAUACGUUCCCGGGUCUUGUACACACCGCCCGUCACACCAUGGGAGUUUGUAAUGCCCAAAGCCGGUGGCCUAACCUUUUAGGAAGGAGCCGUCUAAGGCAGGAC
rnacentral:rRNA from 1 species